AGCGAACGCUGGCGGCAGGCCUAACACAUGCAAGUCGAACGAACCUUUCGGGGUUAGUGGCGGACGGGUGAGUAACACGUGGGAACGUGCCUUUAGGUUCGGAAUAACUCAGGGAAACUUGUGCUAAUACCGACUGUGCCCUUCGGGGGAAAGAUUUAUCGCCUUUAGAGCGGCCCGCGUCUGAUUAGCUAGUUGGUUGAGGUAAUGGCUCACCAAGGCGACGAUCAGUAGCUGGUCUGAGAGGAUGAUCAGCCACAUUGGGACUGAGACACGGCCCAAACUCUUACGGGAGGCAGCAGUGGGGAAUCUUGCGCAAUGGGCGAAAGCCUGACGCAGCCAUGCCGCGUGAAUGAUGAAGGUCUUAGGAUUGUAAAAUUCUUUCACCGGGGACGGUAAUGACGGUACCCGGAGAAGAAGCCCCGGCUAACUUCGUG
rnacentral:rRNA from 1 species